UAUCUGCACAUACUUCCCACACGGGGUUUUUGCAUACCAGGUUUGAAAAACCACGGACAUGGUGCAAGCUGAAGUUGACUUCUGCUGCAAACUAGUCAAAUGUGUUUGCACAACUUUUCUAGCAUUCUCCAGCCUCCCCAAAGCCUCACCACCAGAGAACAGUGUCUCCUUCAACCUCUGAUGCUAUCAGAAGAGCCUGUUCUUUAUGGGCAGCAUUCAAGGAGGAUCCGUGUCACUGGAAUGAGAAUGAAGGUCCUCUCAUCACUUGACUCGUUUUACAUUUCUCUUGGAAAAGUUAUCUUUCUGGGAAUCAUUGUUCCUCCACUUUUCAAGAAGGGAUUUCAAUAAAACUUGGAAAUUUGAAUGUAGAUUUCAAAGAUCUGUGUUUGAAAAUGUGAAAUUAAGUUCAGUCAUCAGGCAAUACUGACCAAAAGUGUCUUUUGUUUGGUUUCUUGAUAACAAAGCUUCAAGAUAAAAUAAACAGAAUGUUGCUUAAGUUGAU